rnacentral:tRNA from 1 species
AUUAAGGUGGCAGAGCCCGGAUGAUUGCAAAAGACCUAAGUCCUUUACACGGAGGUUCAACUCCUCUUCUUAAUU